GAUGAACGCUGGCGGCGUGCCUAAUACAUGCAAGUCGAGCGAACGGACGAGAAGCUUGCUUCUCUGAUGUUAGCGGCGGACGGGUGAGUAACACGUGGAUAACCUACCUAUAAGACUGGGAUAACUUCGGGAAACCGGAGCUAAUACCGGAUAAUAUUUUGAACCGCAUGGUUCAAAAGUGAAAGACGGUCUUGCUGUCACUUAUAGAUGGAUCCGCGCUGCAUUAGCUAGUUGGUAAGGUAACGGCUUACCAAGGCAACGAUGCAUAGCCGACCUGAGAGGGUGAUCGGCCACACUGGAACUGAGACACGGUCCAGACUCCUACGGGAGGCAGCAGUAGGGAAUCUUCCGCAAUGGGCGAAAGCCUGACGGAGCAACGCCGCGUGAGUGAUGAAGGUCUUCGGAUCGUAAAACUCUGUUAUUAGGGAAGAACAUACGUGUAAGUAACUGUGCACAUCUUGACGGUACCUAAUCAGAAAGCCACGGCUAACUACGUGCCAGCAGCCGCGGUAAUACGUAGGUGGCAAGCGUUAUCCGGAAUUAUUGGGCGUAAAGCGCGCGUAGGCGGUUUUUUAAGUCUGAUGUGAAAGCCCACGGCUCAACCGUGGAGGGUCAUUGGAAACUGGAAAACUUGAGUGCAGAAGAGGAAAGUGGAAUUCCAUGUGUAGCGGUGAAAUGCGCAGAGAUAUGGAGGAACACCAGUGGCGAAGGCGACUUUCUGGUCUGUAACUGACGCUGAUGUGCGAAAGCGUGGGGAUCAAACAGGAUUAGAUACCCUGGUAGUCCACGCCGUAAACGAUGAGUGCUAAGUGUUAGGGGGUUUCCGCCCCUUAGUGCUGCAGCUAACGCAUUAAGCACUCCGCCUGGGGAGUACGACCGCAAGGUUGAAACUCAAAGGAAUUGACGGGGACCCGCACAAGCGGUGGAGCAUGUGGUUUAAUUCGAAGCAACGCGAAGAACCUUACCAAAUCUUGACAUCCUUUGACAACUCUAGAGAUAGAGCUUUCCCCUUCGGGGGACAAAGUGACAGGUGGUGCAUGGUUGUCGUCAGCUCGUGUCGUGAGAUGUUGGGUUAAGUCCCGCAACGAGCGCAACCCUUAAGCUUAGUUGCCAUCAUUAAGUUGGGCACUCUAAGUUGACUGCCGGUGACAAACCGGAGGAAGGUGGGGAUGACGUCAAAUCAUCAUGCCCCUUAUGAUUUGGGCUACACACGUGCUACAAUGGACAAUACAAAGGGCAGCGAAACCGUGAGGUCAAGCAAAUCCCAUAAAGUUGUUCUCAGUUCGGAUUGUAGUCUGCAACUCGACUACAUGAAGCUGGAAUCGCUAGUAAUCGUAGAUCAGCAUGCUACGGUGAAUACGUUCCCGGGUCU
rnacentral:rRNA from 1 species